UACGAAGGGGGCUAGCGUUGCUCGGAAUCACUGGGCGUAAAGGGUGCGUAGGCGGGUCUUUAAGUCAGGGGUGAAAUCCUGGAGCUCAACUCCAGAACUGCCUUUGAUACUGAGGAUCUUGGGUACGGGAGAGGUGAGUGGAACUGCGAGUGUAGAGGUGAAAUUCGUAGAUAUUCGCAAGAACACCAGUGGCGAAGGCGGCUCACUGGCCCGUUACUGACGCUGAGGUGCGAAAGCGUGGGGAGCAAACAGG
rnacentral:rRNA from 1 species